rnacentral:rRNA from 1 species
UACGAAGGGGGCGAGCGUUGUUCGGAUUUACUGGGCGUAAAGGGUGCGCAGGCGGAUAUGUAAGUCAGUGGUGAAAUCUUUGGGCUUAACCCGAAAAUUGCCAUUGAUACUAUAUAUCUUGAAUGCUGUGGAGGUAAGCGGAAUAUGUCAUGUAGCGGUGAAAUGCUUAGAUAUGACAUAGAACACCUAUUGCGAAGGCAGCUUACUACGCAGAGAUUGACGCUCAUGCACGAAAGCGUGGGGAUCAAACAGG